UACGGAGGGGCCUAGCGUUGUUCGGAAUUACUGGGCGUAAAGCGCGCGUAGGCUGAUUAGUCAGUCAGAGGUGAAAUCCCGGGGCUCAACCCCGGAACUGCCUUUGAUACUGCUAGUCUUGAGUUCGAGAUAGGUGAGUGGAAUUCCGAGUGUAGAGGUUAAAUUCGUAGAUAUUCGGAGGAACACCAGUGGCGAAGGCGGCUCACUGGCUCGAUACUGACGCUGAGGUGCGAAAGCGUGGGGAGUAAACAGG
rnacentral:misc_RNA from 1 species